rnacentral:rRNA from 1 species
UACGUAGGGGGCAAGCGUUGUCCGGAAUCAUUGGGCGUAAAGAGCGCGUAGGCGGCCCUGUAAGUCCGCUGUGAAAGUCAAGGGCUCAACCCUUGAAUGCCGGUGGAUACUGCAGGGCUAGAGUCCGGAAGAGGCGAGUGGAAUCCUGGUGUAGCGGUGAAAUGCGCAGAUAUCAGGAGGAACACCAAUUGCGAAGGCAGCUCGCUGGGACGUAACUGACGCUGAGACGCGAAAGCGUGGGGAGCAAACAGG